CUGAUGGUGCAGAGGGGCCCAGGGCCUCACCUGCCUCUGAGGUCAGGGGGAGCUGAGACACCCAACACCUGGCAAGAUGGAGCCCAAAAACAUUACCAAACUGAUACCUUGGGGUUUAAGUUUUUCUGUUCUGUUUUGGUGUGCAGAUUUCAGCUUUUUAUUAAGUAGGAUCUUUUCACAGAGUGGCGAAGAUAAAACAAUCCUGUUCUAGCUGGAGACUUAAGGACAAUCCCUUCAAACUUCAGGCCCAAAGCACAAAUAACAUGAAAAAAGGAGGGAAGUAUCAAGGUACUUGGAGAAGUCGGCAUCUUAAUAUACGAUAACUUUCAGGGCAGGAGGGAGAUGGCAGAUUAGCAACAUUAGGAAGAAGCCUGGGACAUCUCUUUGGAAGGCAGAAUAUUUCAGCUACAGCGAGGGCUCACUUUGAUUCUUUUGUAAAAGCCAUCAGUCAUCAGGCAGCA